CUCCUGGCGAUGUACUCCUGGAUCGACAGGACGACGUAUUUAAAACAAUACAGUUUAGGCGCUGUUUUUCUCUUGUAAUCGUAGAUGCAUCGAACCAAAGUACUGCUGCACAAGCAUUUUUAAUUUUAAUUCCGGACAGAAUUAAAUUAGUCUUUUUGUACAAAUUUCUGUGCAAUAUGAUAAAACACUGAUGUUUUUACUGUUUGAUAACUACCUCUACCUCUAUGGAUUUCGAUGUACUUCAUGUAAUGCAAUAGACAAGAUUAAUAGGAAUACUCGAAGAAAUUACAUUGGUGUUGGUUUGAACCGAAACUGGUAAGAAUUCCUCAGGUGAUGAACUUAACGACAGAAAAUAUUUAGUUUUCGUGACAUCAGGGCCUACUAAGGGAGUGACACAUUUUUAAUUGAUUCUAGUACACCAUGGCAAUAGUGUAAAUUAAAAAAUCGGCACAGCAAAGGCAUGAUUAGAUAUAAAGAAAUAAAAAAAAAAACCUCCUGAUGAAUUUUCGGAGUCCGAAGUUGUACGUAAUUUGAAUCAACACCACUUUUCUGGGUCCCAUGGUUCAUCGACGUUUCCCCUUUUCAAAUAUGGAUUCCAUCAACCAUUCCAUCAACCAUCAACCAUAAAAGCCUACAGGAUGUGAUGACUGGGGCAUGUAAAGAGGAUAUUGGAUUAUUACAACGCCAAGAAUCUUCUUCUUUUUCUUCUUAUUGGUGUAAUGACUUAUUUGGUCAUAGCCCUAAAGGGAUUUUUAUUGAUUUAUUUAUUUAUUUAUUUAUUUAUACAAACUCCAAAGGACCGCUGAGUCUAAUCGGAUAACUUACUAUAGUUAAAGUACAAAUAACAUAAUACAUGACACGCACACAUUACACAUAAGGCAAGUGCAACCUUGCUUUAAACACAGUUGUAGACAUACACUAAUCGAACAUUUCUAACUCUUCAAGGGACAUACGUUACAUAGGUAGGAGUUAGCACGUUGUCUGUUCGGUAGCCAAUAAAACGAUUCAAAUAAAAUAAUUUAAAUUAAUUCAACAAUUAAGAUGAUCUUAGCUAAUGCUCUAACUGUCAAACAUAUUGUUGUGUAAAGCACCAUGGGAUAUCAUUUAUUAAAUUAUAAUUAAAAUUAAACUACAAUCGCAUGAAAUUGUGCACCAAUACCAUGAACGCUGGGAACCAACACUCAAUAUCUCUCUCUCCCUCCUAUUGUUUGCUCGCACAAUCCCUUCACGCCAUCAGGUAUGUUAUGCUGCACAAUGCACAGCGUUCUUUUCCCGCCCCACGGUUUGCCGAAUGCUGCACCCCGAUUGGUUGCUAUAAAACUCGAAACAUAAUUGCUCUGCUGGGUGGCUUCACCACCCUGCACCGUAUAAUGUUGCUAUACUGCAAAGGGGCGUACCCGGCAAGCAGCAUAAACUCACGUACCGUUAUGCUAGCGAAUGCAAUCGACUGAGAGGUAACGCGGGGGCCUGCCUAUGCUUUAAAAUCAGUUUCCAAGCUGUAAUCUGUUCAUAGCAAACCCUUUCCACGUGCUUGCGAUACAAAUAAAACGGAAAACGAGUUCGCCUUGCCCAGUGUAUUGUGGUAGUAAAGGAAUUGUUUUCACUGGAACCGGGCGUACAGCAGUUUGCCCAAGGAUUGUCGAACUGAUGCAACAUAAAUUUAGAUUGUUUAUAUUUUCUUACGAGCUGCGUGCGUGCGAAUGCGGCGAAAAGUUCGAACCCCGUUCGAUGCUACCCGGGUUUGUCACGUUUUCUAGGGAAGGGCUUUCUAGCCAAGGGCUAUAAAAACGUGAGUAAAAUCACGUGAAGCUUGUUUGGAUGGGCGAUGAUAUUGUACAACACUGUUAGCAUAGGACACUGCCAGCAUGAAAUGCAAAUGGCUAGACAGUUUUAGGUAUUACAACUGUAUAUAGGCGCUUUUGUAGUAUUUUAAUUGGGAUUUUUGUAACAUUGUUAGGCAGUUUGUGUGUAGGAGAUAAUAACUCCCAUGGUAGUCUUAAAAGAAAUAAAUUCCAAAUAUGUAAAACAAAAGUCGCGCGAGUGAGGCACUCGUUUGCGAGCGUAAAGAUAUCUUUUAAUGUAAUACAAAUCACUAAUAAAGCCGGAAACUAGUUUGGAGCAUGCACCUUAUCUAGGAGUAAUCAGUAGAUCGUGGGCGCACAACGAGAUAAAUGGAAGCAGAACUCAUUGCGGCAAGUAAAAUAUUAAAAUUUAUUAACCUAUUUCAAUAUCAGUUAAAAAGCAUGCCCGCAGCAUUUUUGUCCGCUCUACGAUUGUCACACCUACAUAGAUGUUAAAGAUUAAGUGCCUGCGCUUAGCAUACGGCAAUGACUCCAUGACAUCCAUCCAUCUCUCCCAGGUUGGUUGUGGUGUAAGGGACUGCACACAAAACAUAAAACGGUGCCAUAAUCGAACGUGUGGUUGAAUUAUUUACAUCGCCUAAUAGAAAUACCGCACGUUCCUGCACCGUUGCUUCCAUCUGCCGGUAGGCCAAACCACUUCGGGCCAAUCCUUGCGACCCGCCGCACUCCAUCACGAUCUCGCUGCAUUGUCCCGCACACGUACAGGACGUGGCGACCGGAAUAGGCGACUGUCUCACGUACUGGGCCGGUGCUAGGUAGGGAACCAACUCGGAUUAAAGAUUGCGUCCUAUCGGUUCGCUCGUACACACGCAGCAAUAGGGCUCGCACCUUUGCCCAGCGCUGGCCGUGUUGCUGAUUCCUUGCAUAAUGAGACACUCGACGGAAGAGUAUCCGGACGGCAAUGGAGCAUCGCACGCUGGAAAAGGUAACGGCAGCAGUUUGUAUGCGGGACCAGUGCAGCAUCAUGUGAAGGUGAACCAGUGAAAAAUAAACCACCGAACGCCAGAGUUGGCAAGAAAAUAGGCUAAAAAAGGAAAUAAACCGCCAAGCGUAACAUACAAUGACAAAUAUCUUUAUCCUUCUCGUGGACUAACACUGAUUAUACCAAGAUUUCGGCUAAUACUCCGUUUGGGAAAACGAUAGAAUCGCCAUUAAUAACUACGAAAUAUUGAUUGUUUGAUGAAAUACAGUGAUUUUUUUAGUAAACUAAUUUGUAGUCUAACUUGUUGCCCCACUUUACUCUCAUUAUACCAGGAAUCGGUAAUCUCUUCAAGAAAAGGGCUAGAUUGGCCGAAUUCUUCAGAAAACGGAUUACGUUAAGGGUUUCACUUAUUUAGAUACGAUUGAACUAUGUUCAGAAAGGCAUCAGAAUUUCAGUUGACCGUCAAAUGUUUACUUAUUGUUGAACAAUUCAAAUUCAAAAGCACCUUAACAUUAUUACCUUGAGCUCGAAAACGGUGUAAUAAUUUUUUAUUUAUAGCCUUGGAAGCUCAUACACAGAAAACAUAAUCAACAUAGGUCUAAUCAGGUAGAUUUCUGAACACUCACCCACUAAACUAUGUCCCUGAUUCGCUGAUAACGGUGCAACGUAGCUAUAUUUUGAACUGAAAUGGCAAACAGUUGUAGUAGUCGUUAAGAAGUGAAGUGCUAAAGUGGUUUAUAUUGGAUAUAUUGGAUGGAUAUUGAAAUCUGAGGUCUGAUAAACGCAUUUUCUUUACGUCAUAACCAAAUUGUUAAUAUUGUACAAUUUGAAAAACAAAAAAAAAUAGUUCAUGGUAUGUUGAUUUACUGGUUCUCAUGUAAGGUAAGUCGACAUUAAGUUUUAACGAUAAUAGACAUCCUGGGAACUAUAAAAUAAGGAAGAAUUAUAAUUUAAUUUUGUAUCUUGAGAACAUUUUAAGAUGGUUUAAUGUCAAAUAUACAUGUUUAAAAUCUGUCAGGAGCUGUUUAGUAGUUAAUAUUUACUUUUUUCAUCUAGAAAGUACAUAUUGCAUUUCUCCACAGACGUGUUAACUAUUCAAUCUAUUUUAGAGUGCUGUCAGUACAUGCAAACAUUGGUAACAACUUAUUUCACGCUGCUCAUUUAAUUUCCAUGCAUGUAAUCAAUUUUAACAAUUCGUUUUUUGCUCUGUAUAAGUCCAACUGUUGUAGAUCCAUGCAAAUGAAUUAGCAAAAUAUCGUCGCGGACAGGAUGAAUUUAGUUCGCGGGAGUAACCGAACCCUGAGCCAACACGAUUGUGUUGAGCGCGUUACGUCAGCAAGGACCAAGACGGAUUCCCCAUAGCGAGAGUGGCAUCGCCGAAUCUCAUUAUACAAAACAAUUCCAGUUAAAAAAUGGAAAUUAAAGACAAGGUGACAGAAUUAUGAUCGUUGCUGUAUAUAUAGUUAUGAGUAUGGAACCACUGCUUUUAUUCAAAAUGAUUAUUGCGUGCAUGUCGCUUUGAUGCUGAUACCGAUCUGACGCGACGGGAUCGGCUCCUAUCGUAUCGGCAUGGGUGCGAGGCUGUUGUAGUGAUAUCGCACCUGUAUUUGUGUUCCACGCAUAUAACUACAUAUUUUUAAAUUUUCAAAAUAAUUAACCUUUCCGUGUACGGCACGUGCCAAGUUUUGCUGACUUCAUGACCUUCUUGCAAUUGUGCACAUUGUGUGUGGUGGUUUUUCUUUUACGCCCUCUCCCCUCCCUUCCUUAUCCUGCACUAAUGACUUUGAACUUCCCUGUCAUAUCCCGCACUGCUCGUCAAAAACCUGCUGCGUUUUCACAAAUGUACCUCUCGCACCGACGGGAUACGAUUUAACGAGUGCUCCCGGCAGGAGGCUGGGAAGCUGAGCGAUUUUGGAACUGAACCAGGAUGCCGAUUGACUUUUUGGUUGUGUGAACGUGUGGGAACUGGCUCCGGUUGAAAUGUUUGAGAAAAGCUAUAAAAGGCACGGUUUGACGGUCCCUUCUGGGGGAAUUUUAACGUGUCCGUUGCCCGGUAGCAGAAUAUACUCAUUAUUUUAGUGUUUUUGCGAAGUUUUUUCUGAAGACACGUGUCACUCGGCAGGGGAAUUGUUUAGUCUGGGGAUAUUUGGCUUGUUAUUUAAAACGGCACGAUUAAGCGCAAUUGCAUCAGAAACUGUUUAAUCGGAACACGGAAAAAGAAGGUCGAUGCAAAAAUCGUUCAACUCCAGCUAUACUUAGACUCGUUUUGCAAUACAAAACAACUACCAAAAUAGACACGCUCUCUUAUAAUAGCGUAUAUCAACUGUCUGUAUAAGGUAAGACAAUCUCAUUUUGAUUGCUAAAACAAUAAAUAAAUAAACAUAAAGGUCAUUCGUACUUGUAUCAGGAUCGCAUGCCUAGUAUUUCCAUAGAUCUCGUCAUUUUCCAUAGAUUUCGGCUGUCUUUUACGCAAAGUUGGCAAAUAAACUAUAAAUGGCUGUAGUCAGUGGAAGGAUUCCAUGGUACUAUGGUUGUUGCAAAAGUAUGUACCAAUUGGUAUCUUUUAUAGUCUUUGUGACAAUUAACGAGGUAAUAAUGUUUUAUUUAUUUUAUUUGGAACCGGUCUGGUGGUACAGUCGUCAACUAGUACCACUUAACAACAUGCGCGUCAUGGGUUCAAGCCCCGAAUGGACCGUGCCUUCGUACGUAGGUAGGACUGACUAUCCUGCUAUGGUAACAAUAAGUCACUGAAAGCCAAGCUCACCUCACUAGUGCGUACAGAGGCAGGCCUUGACCGACAAUGGUUGUUGUGCCAAAGAAGAAGAAGAAGGUAGUCCAAAAAGUUGUACAGGUUAUUAUAAUAAUCAUUAACCUCGUUAAACCGUUGAUCGGUAAACUCAUGAUCAUUUUAAUUUUAAGAUGUGUGUAUAUAAAUUGUGUACUGUACAAAAAAUCUAUAUUUUAUAAAUGCUCCCAAAUAAAAUUGUUGCAUUUAAACCGAUAGUAGAAGAAAGAGAAAAAUAUAAAAAGUUAAUAAAUGAACAAACAACAAACAAAUAAAUAAAUAAACAAAUCUGAAAUAGAAUAGGAAAGGAUCAUUAUGACAAUUUAUGGUAUGACGUGCUUCAACAGCUAACGGAUAAAGACAACGGAGACAGCGGGAAGACACAUAUAAACAAAUAGAGGCAAGCAAAUUGGGAGCAUCGAUAGCGGAUGUGAGUAGCCCGCCAAUAAAACAAACUAGAAUUAGAUGGCGCCGAUGACUUAAGGUUUGUAUGGACUACCUAAUGUUAUUCAAUUUAGUUAGAUUAGUUGAUCGCUCUAAAAAUGCUUUAAUUUAAUCCCAAUUUCACAUUUUUUUUUCUAUACGCCUGUCCAUUAAAAAAUCUUGUUACGACGUCUGGCAUAAAAUUUCCCAAAUGUUAUGAAAUUAUGAAUAUGUUUUAAUUCUUUAAUAAUACCACAUUUUUCUCACCUGGACUUAGAUCCUACACUGUAAACAGGUGCAACUCUCCGGUAUGGCGUGAGAUACGGAAGUCGAGGAAAAACAAGGACUAGGAUAGCAUGCGUCAAGGAGUAACGCUUGUUUUGGACCUUCCCGCACGAAACCGUCGCUGUGGUAGUGUAUUGUACAUACCUUUUUUGUUUUGGAUGAGUAUUCAAGAUAUCGUAAUAAGUGUUUUUGUCUGGCAGAAGGUGACUGUGCUAAUGUUCUCCACACAGGCUCAUGUGUUUUUUUAUAUUUAAAAUGUGAAGCUCAAAUUCUUUCUUAAAUCUCCGACGGUCCAGCUCCAGCGUGUGCAAAAAUGCAAACUCAACGUAAUUGUAUGCACAGCAGGACCAACACAGCCAAACAUACACAUGAAAAAAAAAAACAACACUUCAAGAGGAACGUGUCAGCCAGCGACAGUGGCACUGAUCUCCUACCGUGUGCCGUGAGCUCGUACGCAAUUAUCUUCUGCUUCCAAUUAAAACAAACAAGCUUCCGCAGUCCUCCAGCACCGUACACAGCACCGGCAGGAAAAGGGGCCAGGAUGCAGUUCCGGGUCAACGCGGUUGGGGAAGGAAGGUGCGGACGCUCACCCACAAGCCGUCGCUGUCAUCGUCCUCAUCAUCCACAUCGUCGUGCGUCUCCUCGAUUGCUGGCGGAUGGGGGAAGAUUUUCCGCUCCGUUACCAGAAAUUUCCCCCUGUUUUCGUUGAAGAACGCCGGUAGAACAAUAGCGUGCGGAAACAGCGAUUUAACCCUCACCAGCUCGUCCGACGGUGGAGGACAAAUCGGGAGCAGCAAUAAUAAUAAUCACACCGAUGACAACUACCUAACGCAAACAACUCGCCGAGCUACCACGCGGGUUGCGUGAUAGGCGCUGGUAGGUGCAGUAGUUUUGGAGGAGAUUAUUGGGCUUUAAAACAAUAAUAUCCCGGAGAGGCGUGCACUGCUUAAGGGUGCUAGGGGUACACGUGAGAACUUCCGAACAGUGGACUGUCAAUUUGUAAGGAGUAAUCGAAUGUGUUGAUAGUUUGUUUAUUUGUUUGGAAGUGUUUUUUUGAAUUAUUUUGCAUUGUGCUGGGGCGUUGCUGAGUGUAUGUAGAUUUAUGUUGAAGAUUGAAUCUUAAAAGAAACAUAACGCAAUGUUUUGUUGAAGUGCAAUCAACAGAUUGUUUUUUUUUUUAAUUAUUAUUUAAAAUAAUUUAUGUCUGAUUCUGUACCCACGUCGUAGUUAACAUGUUUGUUAUGAGAAUGAUAGGCCAUCAAGUUAUUAGUUCAUCAGUAGGUCACAAAUCUGGUACCCUAAUGAGUACUAGAAAAAAUAGUAAAAUAAUUCAAAUGUUGUCAGUUAUCUAACGGGUUAGUUGUAUCUAGUACCAUGUCAUGCGAACCAAGUGCUAAAUCCCAGCUAAGUUAGCAGCUCAUUUUGUCGGAAUCCAUUCAUUGAGAUCUUCCAGCCUUAUUACAUUCAAAUCUUGAUCAACUACUUCUUGAUACGAUAUGAUCGCUAUAGUUUGAUAAAUUCCAGGUAUCCAAUGUAACAAAGCAAGAUCUUUUUUUAAUCAGACCGUUGGAAACAUACUACACACAUAGAGAGACCGGCAUAUUAUAGUGCGCACUUUAAGAGGCGAAUGAGGUCAACUGGCUCAAAGUCUCUGUAAUAAUUGAAAAAUAAUAAUAAUAAUAAUAGUAAUAAUAAAUAAAAUAGCGCAACGUUA